GGGACAUCCAGAGUUCCCGCCGCAACAACUCUUGUCUACAUUCCACUCAUCUUCACCAUCAGUAAAAAUGCCAAACGCUUAAUGAGAAUUUCACACCGCCUGAUGGAGUUCAGAUUCAAGCGUCCCAAAAGGUGCAACAGAACACCAUGGGAGCAGCACAUAAAGUUUCUGGUUCAGAUUCCAGAUUUCGUGUGGGUGAACUCUCCUUCACCUCCAGGGGCAGGGCAGGGACACCGGCAAACACGAAAACAGCGCUGAGGGAAAUUCCUGCCAGGGAUCCACAAGCGUCUUAAUGCUCCUGGAAUGCAAAAUUGAAAUUUAUUUGACAGUUCGGCAUACAGAGGCUGAUGAAUGUGACUUUUUCCCUGCUUGCAUGCAUUAAGAAAAAGUAGGACAAGCAUGUAGACUAAUAGUAUUAUGUAAAUGUCCACGGGUGUGUAAGGUCAACUAAUUUAUCACGUCUAAUUAUUGUAUGUUAUUGUAUGAAUCUGUUUAUUUUUCUAUGUUUUAUUCUUCAUCUGUUUGCUGCUAGCAGAUGUUCUGUUGAGGACGCCAUGGAUAAACCAGUUGUUAACUGUUUAAACCUUUAACUUGUAGAAAAGAGGGCAUUGUUGGGUCUACUCUGACAGAUCAGUAUCUGUACAUCCCCUGCCAAGUUAAUGUUCCACUGAUGACAAAGCAGGAGGCCGGGACAAAUGGAAGGGAACAGAACACUGGUCCUCAAGGACUUGGACUGGACACUUUUAAACUGGAGCAAAGGCUGCAAGUCUGUCCUUUUGUCCUGCAUCAGAGUCUCCCCGGACAAAUGCACUUCUGGGAGAACACUCUAAAAAAACAACACACUCUUUAACUUUUGUGGAGAACCUUGAUAAUUGUGUGAAUAUUUUGAAGGUCUUUUUAUUUUUACAAACUUCAAUAAUAAGUGCCCUCUGUACAGAUUACAGUAACUGUGUCAAAGAUGAGUGAAGGCGUUUUUUAUGUGUUUAUAUGUUCUAGAAGCAUUUUUUUCAUGAUA